rnacentral:rRNA from 1 species
GACGAACGCUGGCGGCGUGCUUAACACACGCAAGUCGAACGGUAAGGCCCUUUCGGGGGUACACGAGUGGCGAACGGGUGAGUAACACGUGGGUGAUCUGCCCUGCACUUUGGGAUAAGCCUGGGAAACUGGGUCUAAUACCGGAUAGGACUACGCGAUGCAUGUCGUGUGGUGGAAAGCUUUUGCGGUGUGGGAUGGGCCCGCGGCCUAUCAGCUUGUUGGUGGGGUGAUGGCCUACCAAGGCGACGACGGGUAGCCGGCCUGAGAGGGUGUCCGGCCACACUGGGACUGAGAUACGGCCCAGACUCCUACGGGAGGCAGCAGUGGGGAAUAUUGCACAAUGGGCGCAAGCCUGAUGCAGCGACGCCGCGUGGGGGAUGACGGCCUUCGGGUUGUAAACCCCUUUCAGCACAGACGAAGCGUAAGUGACGGUAUGUGCAGAAGAAGCACCGGCCAACUACGUG